rnacentral:rRNA from 1 species
UACGAAGGGGGCUAGCGUUGCUCGGAAUCAUUGGGCGUAAAGGGUGCGUAGGCGGGUCUUUAAGUCAGGGGUGAAAUCCUGGAGCUCAACUCCAGAACUGCCUUUGAUACUGAGGAUCUUGAGUUCGGGAGAGGUGAGUGGAACUGCGGGUGUAGAGGUGAAAUUCGUAGAUAUUCGCAAGAACACCAGUGGCGAAGGCGGCUCACUGGCCCGAUACUGACGCUGAGGCACGAAAGCGUGGGGAGCAAACAGG